rnacentral:rRNA from 1 species
UACGUAGGGUGCAAGCGUUAAUCGGAAUUACUGGGCGUAAAGCGUGCGCAGGCGGUUUUGUAAGUCUGAUGUGAAAUCCCCGGGCUCAACCUGGGAAUUGCAUUGGAGACUGCAAGGCUAGAAUCUGGCAGAGGGGGGUAGAAUUCCACGUGUAGCAGUGAAAUGCGUAGAGAUGAGGAGGAACACCGAUGGCGAAGGCAGCCCCCUGGGUCAAGAUUGACGCUCAUGCACGAAAGCGUGGGGAGCAAACAGG